rnacentral:tRNA from 1 species
GUUGAAAUCAUUGGCUUGCAUCGAGCUUCCCAAGCUUUUCGUGCGGGUUCGAUUCCCGCCGCCCGCUCCA